GAUGCUAAUUUUAAUAUUUCAAAUCCCUCUCCCGGCAACCAUGACUAGAAGAAUGAGCUCGUAAAAAUUCUGCGAGCAGAAUCAUCACGUCUGAUCACUAAUAACAAAAUUUUCCUGAUGCUUUUAUUCAUGAUGUCUUGAAAAAAAUUCAAAAAAAAAAUCGGAAAAAUGUUUUUUCCAAUCAAGUGUCGAGCCAAAAUCCCAAAUUCUUUCGACAUCCGACACCGAUCUAAACCGAAAAAAAUGAAUUUUACCUUCAGAUGCGACAGCUAUAGAUUGCGCAGCCAUCUCGGAGAUCUCAAACCCUGCAACGAUCGAUGGUUGGCGACGGGAAAAAAUUAAAAUGGCAUAAACACCAACGAAUACAUAAAUCCAUAAAAAACACAUCUAGGGUUUACAUUUGGAAUUAGCGUGGAAGCCUUACCUGUUGAAAACCUCCCUCUCUCCCCCCGAUCUACCUCUGCGCGCGCAUGGGCGCCAGGAAAACCCUUGCAUAGGCGACCCUCUGCAAUGGGCCGGGUGCGGGCCAGGUCGAACCGACCGAUCCAGCAGAAGAACUAGUCUAAUCAAGCCGGACACUUGUAGAUAGUUUGUUUUUUUUUUUUAGCAAUAUCUCAGAAAUUAAAUUCUGGCAUCUUG
rnacentral:lncRNA from 1 species